CGAACUGAAAAAGGUCAAACUAUUUAUAACCUCAUGUCAUAUGUUAUUUUAAAUGUUUUUGAAUAUUAACCAAAAAGUAAAGGAAAGAUGUCAUCAGGAACGGAAAAUUACGAGCGUCUGAAUGAGCUAUUAAAUCGUUUAGUAUAUCCAACAUGUGAAAAGAUUCUAGAACAUUAUCUUCAAUCAAAUAAAGUAUCGAUCUACCAAUUCCUAGAGACAAACAAACAUCGCAUCGUGCACUGUUCUCGUGUCAAAACAACUUGCUGUUCACUGCAUGCCAACUGUGCAUACCCAAUAUCGGCAACGUUGACCAAAAGACAGUGGAGCUUCUUGUAUAAAGACGAAGAAAAAAAUAUUUGCACAAAGCCAGUUUGUAUUUGUAAUGUUGUCACAACAUGCAAAAAAUUUAGGAAUCUUAAUCUGAAUGUUAUAUGUUUCCUUAUAAUUGAAUUCUCAAUGAUUGAUGGAUUAAACAUGGAAGCAUUGAGGAGACUGAAUGUAUUCAAUCAAGAGAUGCAGGACAUAAGAACAGGAAUAGUUCCGUAUAGUGAAUUUCAGACAAAAUGGAAUACCACUACAGACAGUUUAAUGGUCCUAGGUGUUACUCAGCAGCAGAUAGAUAGAAUAAAGAAACUGAGAGUAAACCGAACACCUACUCCUACUGCUUUAGAUGACAGGAAUUGCAGAUGUCCAUGUUGUAAAAUACUCCUAAUGGCAUUAGUCGUACUGAUUAUUCUAGGCAUACCUGUAGGAAUCAUAGUUGUACUUGUCCUGUAUAUUUAAUGACAAAAUUACUGGUUAACAAUUGCAUGAAUAUAGAUGUUAUAAAUAUAUUCAUAAAGAGCUGGAAUAAUGCAAAUACAGAUGAAUUCAAAAAGAAAAAAAGACUGACACAAAUUGAUAUACUUCUAUUCAGAAAUUAAUGCUAUGCUUUAUCAAUGACAAAAAAUAAAUAAAAUAACAAAUAAAUAAAUAAAGUCAAAUAAAUAAAAAUUACAAUAUGAAUAGUGCAAGAACAUUUAAAAAUACUAGCUCUUUUAUUUGUGGUAAUGAUAUUUCAUUAAAAAAAGUGCAAGAUGUAAAGCAUUAUUUUUAGUUGUUGAAGAUUCGUAAUAAUAUAUGCUUUUAAUAAAUCAUCAAGUUUCAUUAUACUUUCUAAUUUUAUCAAAGUAGCAUUUGUUUAUGGUGUGGCACAAAUAAAGUUUUAAUGAA